rnacentral:rRNA from 1 species
AAUGAACGCUGGCGGCAGGCUUAACACAUGCAAGUCGAGCGCCCCGCAAGGGGAGCGGCAGACGGGUGAGUAACGCGUGGGAAUCUACCGAGCCCUAAGGAAUAGCUCCGGGAAACUGGAAUUAAUACCUUAUACGACCUUUGGGGGAAAGAUUUAUCGGGGUUUGAUGAGCCCGCGUUGGAUUAGCUAGUUGGUGGGGUAAAGGCCUACCAAGGCGACGAUCCAUAGCUGGUCUGAGAGGAUGAUCAGCCACAUUGGGACUGAGACACGGCCCAAACUCCUACGUGAGGCAGCAGUGGGGAAUAUUGGACAAUGGGCGCAAGCCUGAUCCAGCCAUGCCGCGUGAGUGAUGAAGGCCCUAGGGUUGUAAAGCUCUUUCACCGGUGAAGAUAAUGACGGUAACCGGAGAAGAAGCCCCGGCUAACUUCGUGCCAGCCGCCGCGGUAA